GACGAACGCUGGCGGCGUGCCUAAUACAUGCAAGUAGAACGCAGUUGCGAACGGGUGAGUAACGCGUAGGUAACUGCCUCAUAGCGGGGGAUAACUAUUGGAAACGAUAGCUAAUACCGCAUACUGUGAGAUGGACCUGCGUUGUAUUAGCUAGUUGGUGAGGUAAAGGCUCACCAAGGCGACGAUACAUAGCCGACCUGAGAGGGGUAUCGGACACACAGGGACUAUGACACGUGCCAGAAUCCUACGGGAGGCAGCAGUAGGGAAUCUUAGGCAAUGGACGGAAGUCGGGCCAAGCAACGGCGGCUGAGUGAGGUAGGUGAUCGAAUCGUAAAGCUCGGUUAUUAGAGAAGCGGUAGCUAACCAGAAAGGGACGGCUAACUACGUGCCAGCAGCCGCGGUAAUAC
rnacentral:rRNA from 1 species